GAUGAACGCUAGCGGGAGGCUUAACACAUGCAAGUCGUGGGGCAGCACGGUGUAGCAAUACACUGGUGGCGACCGCCGCACGGGUGAGUAACGCGUAUGCAACCUGCCCUGUACAGGGGGAUAGCCCGGAGAAAUUCGGAUUAAUACCCCAUAAAGAUAUUGAGAGGAAUCUUUUAAUAUUUAAAGCUUCGGCGGUACGGGAUGGGCAUGCGUGACAUUAGCUAGUUGGUAGGGUAACGGCCUACCAAGGCUUCGAUGUCUAGGGGUCCUGAGGGGUGGCUCCCCUACGAUGGUAAUAAGACACGGACCACACUGCAACGGGAGGGAGCAGUAUGGAGUAUUAGUCAAUGGGCGACGGCCUGAACCAGCCAUCCCGCGUGAAGGAAGAAGGCGCUAUGCGUUGUAAACUUCUUUGCCAGAGGAAUAAAAUUUUGUACGAGUACGGAACUGAAGGUACUCUGGGAAUAAGCAUCGGCUAACUCCGUGCCAGCCGCCGCCGUAAUAC
rnacentral:rRNA from 1 species